GCUUGGCCCUAAACCUCAAUAGUUAAAAUAACAAAACUAUUCGCCAGAAUACUACAAGCAACAGCUUAAAACUCAAAGGACUUGGCGGUGCUUCAUACCCCCUAGAGGAGCCUGUUCUGUAAUCGAUAAACCCCGAUCCACCCCACCCUCUCUUGCUUAGUCUAUAUACCGCCAUCUCCAGCAAACCCUGAUGAAGGCUACGAAGUGAGCGCAAAUGCCCUUCCCCGCAAAAACGUUAGGUCAAGGUGUAACCUAUGAGACGGUAAAAAUGGGCUACAUUUUCUACUUCAGAAAACCCCACGAUAGCUCUUAUGAAAUCUAGGAGCCCAAGGAGGAUUUAGCAGUAAAUUAAGAAUAGAGUGCUUAAUUGAACUAGGCCAUAAAGCACGC
rnacentral:rRNA from 1 species